rnacentral:tmRNA from 1 species
GGGGGCGAAACGGCUUCGACGGGGAUAAAGAAGCUCAGGUUGCAUGCCGAGUUCCUGCCGUCUCGUAAAACUGGCGGGAAUUAAAUAUAAUCGCUGACGAUUAUAACUACGCCGUAGCUGCAUAGCUACCGUUCUACCAGGUUUUUCCCACGCGCCUGGAUAGAACGUCGACUAGUGGGAUAGCCGUAGCUGAAUGCCUGCUACAGCAACGGCGAACUUUUAGCGGGAUAGCCUUUGCAGCACCCUGCCUGAUGGAGGCUUCGCAGAGGCGAUACUUAGAGAUCAGGAUAAGCAUGUAGAGAUCUGUGUGGAAUAUUUUCGGACGCGGGUUCGACUCCCGCCGCCUCCACCA